rnacentral:rRNA from 1 species
AAAUAGCUCUUGGAAACGGGUGGUAAUGCUGGAUGCUCCAACUUGACGCAUGUCUUGUUGGGAAAGUGUUUAGUGGCAUGGGAUGGGGUCGCGUCCUAUCAGCUUGUAGGCGGGGUAAUGGCCCACCUAGGCUUCGACGGGUAGCCGGCCUGAGAGGGCGGACGGCCACAUUGGGACUGAGAUACGGCCCAGACUCCUACGGGAGGCAGCAGGU